UACAAGAAAUAGAGCAGACAACGCCAUGGAAAUUAUGGCAUUGAGCUCUGACUUUAUUUGUACACAGAAGAUCCCAAGCAAGGAUAUCAAUCAACUAUCAAUCAAUCACAACAAAGCUCCAUUGUUUCAAGCAGGAAACCAUCCUGAGCAAUAGGUUUCAGGUCAACAAUAGAAUUGUCCCGAAGAAACCCAAAACCAAAUGU
rnacentral:misc_RNA from 1 species